AAAGCUUUAAGUUAAAUUAAACUAAUAACCUUCAAAGUUGAAAAUGUGUACUAUAUUACACAAGCUUUA
rnacentral:tRNA from 1 species